AGCCUGUGGAAGCAGGGAGUGCCCAUGAGACAGGGCACAGCGAAUGCUUCUUAGUAACCUAUACUAAGAAGGCUACAUUUUGGCAUUUCUGUCUCUCCUUUCAAAGUUUUAAUUUUCUUGUCAUUAGGAAAUAUGACACCUCUGGUUUCCACAGUAGUGUGUAUAGUUUAUAUUUCUCUUCCAAGGCUAUCAUCACUUAAAGCCUUUUUCCCCCCCAGCUUGAGUUACUCCAUGACUUUAAAUGGCGUGGUUACUAUUUCUUACAAUGCUCUUCUCCCUUUUAUUUUUUAACUAAUUAAUUAUUUUGCUUUUUAGGCCUGCACUUGUGGCAUAAGGAGGUUUCCAUGCUAGGGGUCAAAUUGGAGCUGCAGCUGCCAGCCUACACCACAGCCACAGCAGCGUAGAAUUCUUAACCCACUGAGUGAGGCCAGGAAUCGAACCUGCAUUCUCAUGGAAACUAGUUGGUUUCUUAACCCACUGAGGCACAAUGGGAACUCUUAUUUAUUUGUUUUUGGACAUGCCCAUGGCAUGCAGAAGUUCCUGGGCCAGGGAUAACUGCUAGGCCACCAGGGAACUCCUCUUCUCCCUUUUAAAUGUCAUUUUAUGCCAGUGGAUAAGUAAGGUGUACACACUGGGCCCAAAGUGAAAGGUCCAGAGCAAUCACUCUUUAGCGCCCAAUGAACCAUUUUCAUUCCUAUUAGUUCUGUGCAAAUAGACUCUGAAUUUUGACUUGGAAACAGAUUAAGUUUUUCCACUCAACAGAGGUUAUUGUAACUUUUCAUGACUGUAUUCUUGGUUCACAGUCCCUGCUUAUAUUUUUUCUUAACCCACAAUGACUGUAAUAAUGGAAAAAGCAAUUAGAAUUUUCAGUUCUCUGGGAACUGAAGACUUUGAUCACAUAUGUCUGCAAGGAAAUGCGAUAUGGGGCCUAAACUGGAAUGAAAUUUCCAAGCAUACUGAGCAGUGUUCCUUGUGCAGAAUUCUCAUGUUAGAGUUCUAAUUAUAUGCACAGGUUCUAUUUUUAAAAGUUAUUAUUUUUCCUGUUAGUUUUUUUGCUUGGCAAGCAGUUCAAAUUAGUACUAACAAUAGAGAUAAGCCAUGAUUCUUAUUAACUGGAGACCUGGCAGUUAGAAGAAACACAUGAUAUCUUUCUGGAGACAAUGAACAAGCUAAAGUGUGUAUGUUAAACUCCCUCGUACCUGAAGUUUACUCUGUGUUUGGCUUUUAUGAGAUCUGCAUUAGAAAUUUUAGACAAUUAGCAAAUAGAAAAAUGACGGGAAAAAUUCCAAUGGCAAAUGAAUCUGAGUCAGUAAUGAAAAAAGAAAUUUUUGAAUAUAUUUUAUUUAUUUUUUUGUCUUUUUAGGUUGCACCCACGGCAUAUUGACGUUCCCAGGCUAGGGGUCCGAUCUCACCCCUGGCCUGGGAACCUCCAUAUGCCGUGGGUGUGGCCCUAAAAAGACAAAAAACAACCCCCCCCCAAAAAAAAACCAUAGUAGCUCAUCCUCAGAGACAUUUUUUGAGCAUGUAAUAAAUGGUGGUGUUUGUUGAAAAAGGAAACUAGCAUUAAGCAAAGUCUUUUUUUGUGCUUGUUCAGGUACUUUUACUUAACACCUUCACCAAUAAUUUCUCUAGAGAAAAAUGUUUUAUCUGGCAUCUUAUUGCCUAACAUAGGUAUCUGACUGGCUUGUUCUGAUCAAGAUUCUUGUUUAAAGAGAAGUAAAAGUUACAUAUAUUUUUAUAUGAAAACCAGCACUUG
rnacentral:lncRNA from 1 species